CCUACGGGGCGCUGCAGUGGGGAAUAUUGGACAAUGGGCGAAAGCCUGAUCCAGCCAUGCCGCGUGUGUGAAGAAGGCCUUCGGGUUGUAAAGCACUUUCAGUGGGGAAGAAAGCCUUGGGGCUAAUACCCUCGAGGAAGGACAUCACCCACAGAAGAAGCACCGGCUAACUCCGUGCCAGCAGCCGCGGUAAUACGGAGGGGUGCGAGCGUUAAUCGGAAUUACUGGGCGUAAAGCUCGCGUAGGCGGUCUGAUAAGCCGGUUGUGAAAGCCCCGGGCUCAACCUGGGAACGGCAUCCGGAACUGUCAGGCUAGAGUGCAGGAGAGGAAGGUAGAAUUCCCGGUGUAGCGGUGAAAUGCGUAGAGAUCGGGAGGAAUACCAGUGGCGAAGGCGGCCUUCUGGACUGACACUGACGCUGAGGUGCGAAAGCGUGGGUAGCAAACAGGAUUAGAUACCCUGGUAGUC
rnacentral:rRNA from 1 species